GCGAUGGUGCUGUAAUGGUCAGCAUAGUUGCCUUUCAAGCAGUUGAUCCGGGUUCGAUUCUCGGCCAUCGCA
rnacentral:tRNA from 1 species